UGGUGGAGUGAUUUGUCUGGUUAAUUCUGUUAACGAACGAGACCUUAGCCUGCUAACUAGUUGGUAGUAUCAGAUACUUCGCAACUUCUUAGAGGGACUUUGUGUGCAACCACAAGGAAGUUUGAGGCAAUAACA
rnacentral:rRNA from 1 species